AUAGAGCUAUCACUGUGUUCAUUUUCUCAAAAGCCUCUUUUUGGUCAGUUAGUAUCAAGAGGCAACUUUGGAGGGUGGAGGGUAAUUGGGAUUAGGAACUGAGAUCUGGUAUCAUAGGCAUGGCUAUUUUAGCACUGUUUGGAGAACAUAAACUUGGGUCACAUUAAGAGAAGUAGAAGGUACAGAUCAAGGGAGGGGAUAGCAGUCUUUAAUUUUGCUGUAGUCACACCCUGCCUGACACAGCUCUGUUCUGAGUAUCAUACUUUGAAGGCAGCUUUGACAACCUUUGUCAAGCUGGAACCCAGGAAGGGUUAUCAGGGGAGUCAGGAGUCUUGAAGGCUAUUGAAAUGGCUAACUUGGCAGCUGCUAAAUGAAAAUAAACCUUUGCUCAUGGGAGAGGGAGUGAAUGCCGGUCGAGACUCCACUACAUAAAGACAUUGCUGCUCACAGAUGCUCUGCUGAUCCCUCAAGAAUCUUGAAAUUGGUGAUAGGGUCUCCAUUUUACAGAUCUUAUGAAGCAAGGACUACUAUUCACCCCAAAAUGAUGAAGGCAGGCUGACUGGAAUGGAGAAGUACAUGUUCUGGAGGUUUGGUUGUUUUAUUCAAGAUGUGUUUGUGUAUAUUUAUUCCAUUUCGUGGGGGAAAAGCCUGAUUCAUUUCUAUGAUAGUCCAAGUACCUGAAAUAAAGGGAAAAAAAUCCAUCAAGUGUUUAACACUGGAGUGUUAAACAAGACCUUGACAUGACUUUCCCUUCCCUUGUAGUGAAUGGGAGAACAACCUGAUAAAACAUAAUGGACAGAGACGAGAGCCACUAACAUCACUGACAUAGAACGUCUGGCUUUGGCUUAUGAUAAAAUGUUGGCAGUUCACUUGUUUAUUCUCUUGUUAUUCUUUUAGAAGAAAUUCCCCUAAAAGUAGGAGGCGAGAAUCUCUUGUUCUUGAUUCUUUUUCCUUCAUCCUCAGUUGUAUUUUAUUGGAUUAUGAAUUCGUAUUUAUGGAGACAUUCUGUCUUCUGUUCGUGUUCUAUUUUGGCCACUGUAUAUGCCAGGCUGAUGUUAGAGCCCUACAGUUUGACCCUAAAUAAAAGAAACCCCUUUGUAUGUUAAAAAAAAAAAAAAAAAACCCAGCUCUGUGGAUCAUCUUCCUUAAAUCUACCACUAAUGUUUGGCUCUUUAUCUUUUAAAAAUGAGACAUUAACCAUUCCUCUGCUCUUUGCCCACACUUGGCAUUUUGUGGGGAGGACGUAUUGGAGAUGAUGCAAGAGGUCUUAAAUAUGGUUCCUGCCCUCGCUAUGCUUACUUUAAUUAUAUUGAGCUAAAUGGGCAGAGGAAUUAAGAGACAAUUAGGGAAUAGGUGCUUGCAUGUGCUUGUGUCCUAUUGAAGGGGUUCAGAACAGGCCUCCCUAAGUUGUGCCACUUCGGCACAUGGAAUAUUUUGAGCUAAAGGCAGUUGAGACCCUGUGGGCUCAAGAGAAAUUUUGACCUCUCCCUUAAAGAAUUUAAAUUGGGAGCCUUGCCUAUGAUAAGAGUUAUUACCAGAAAUAAACUUUUAUGAUCUAUCUGUGUGGCAGGGCAAACCUCUACUUACUGAACAUCUGCUCUUCUUAGUGUCCUGUGAAUUACCUCCUCCCCUCUGAAGCCUCAGGCCCCUACCCCAUUCCUUAGCUCAAGGUGACACAUAUACUUCAUUUUACCUUUUUAUCUCUGAAUCUCUCAUGUACGUAGGGUCUCUGACUCUCACAUGUACGUGGGGUUCCCAUACAUACAAAAUUAAAUUUUAUUUUCUCCUAUUUAUCUGUCUCACGUCAAUUUAAUUAUUAGACCAGCCAGAAGAACCUAGAAGGGUAGAGGAAAAUGUCUUCCUCCCCCACACUAUGAAUGGAAUAGUGGGAGAAAUUUGUAAAUUGGACUGAGAAGAAAAACUUAGAGGCAGACAGACUGAGUCCUGAGUUUCUGGAAGCAGAACCACUUCUAUCCCCAGUGCUGAGUAUGGGCCUCGUCUGUAGAAGGAACUACUCUACCUGAAGUAAAGCUGCCGGAUAAGGAGUUCAUUGCAGCUGGCCUCAGGCUCUUGGGGAAUGCAGGGCUGAAUAUGACUGGCAACUCUGACCCUGUGUUGGCAGCUUCCUGCCCCAGCUCCCACAUCCUAACUUCUCCCAAGAGCAGCCUUGUAAGCUGGAAGGAGCUAGGGAAGAGCUGGGUGGGAUGAGGUACAAGGCCCUUCUUAGAGGAGGGAGGGGAAUACAGGAGGGUCUCAACUGCUCCAGCUGGACUGAAGCAGCUGUGGGGGUGGAGUGCAGCAGAUUCCAUGUGUGCCUCAUGGAAAGUUGAAGUAUCAGACCAGGGUGCUGUUGCAUGAAUAUGGCUGCAUGAGGCACGUACCUGUUUCCCUGUGGGGUGCUAGCCAAGGUGGGAGGUGAACAGUGUACAGCUCUGCUCCUAUUGCUCCCCAGACUGUAAAGGAGGGCACUGGCAUAACCGGGGUACCUGGUGGAGGAGCAGACACUGCCCACCAGGAUGACCUGAAGAAGUGCUGGGCUAAGUGUAAACUCAGCCUGUCAUCUGGCUUUCGCUCAUAGUCUAGAUCUUGAAAUUCUUUUAAAGAGCCCCACUUAAAAUACAAAUACUCCUAGGAUUUUUGAGGCCUCAUCAACCUAUACUUGGGCUGUGUAUUUUUUUAAAUGAUAGCCUUAUUGAGGUAUAAUUUACAUACCCUAAAAUUCACCUGUUUUAGCUGAGUUGUGCAACCAUCACCACAAUCCACUUUUAGAACACUGUCAUCACCCGAAAAAGACCCCACCUUCCUAUUUGUAGCCAUUCUCCAUUCCCACUCCCAGUCUCAGGCAACCACUAAUCUCUCAGUUUCUAUGGGUUUGCCUCUUGACAUUUCAUAUAAAUGGCAUCAUAUAAUAUGUGGUCUUUUGUGUCUGGCUUCUUUCACGUAGUGUAAUGUUUUUGAGGUUAAUCUAUGUUGAACCCUGUCAGUAAUCUCUGCCUUUUUAUUGCUGAAUAAUAUUUCAUUGUGUAUACCACAUUUUCAUUCACUGUUGACAAAUGUUUGAGUUAUUUCCAGGACUUGGCUGUUAUGAAUAAUGCAGCUAUGAACAUUUAUGUACAUGUCUUUGGAUAUAGAUGUUCGUUUAUCUUGGAUAGAUUAUUGGGAGUGGAAUUGCUGGGUCAUAUGGUAAUUUGUUAAGCUUUUAAAGAAACUACCAAACUAUUUUCAGAAGCGGUUGCACCAUUUUACAAUCCCACCAGCAAUGUAUGAGGACU